ensembl:lncRNA
UCCUUACUAUGCGGUGCGAGGACCCAACAACAUUCCAGACGUUAAGGCCACGCCCCGGGCCACUCCCCCCUCGUCGGGCUGCGGCCUCCCAGUCUCCUCGGCCACACCCCCCUUCCCAACUACUUAAAAGGACACUCCAAAGCUCACGUUUCCUUGCUCUGUAUCGGGGUGUUCUUGUCUGGGUAUCUCUACCCGCUUACGGUGGAAUGGUUGCGCCCUUCGGGUAGCCAAGCAAGCCUCCAAGCAUAAGUCAGGUCGGACCAGGAUGAGAGAGAGGUUUCGGGCAGUUGUUUUACUUCCUGCUUGGCGCACGAAUUGUGGCCCCCUCGUUUCACGCCCCAGGCACUUUGCUGCUGGCUGUGACUCCUGGACUCAAGAUGGUGAAAGAUAUACAUUUGUUCCCAAGAAGUGGAAACUCCAGAAAGGCAAAUUUCAGUUCAAUAUGUCUCUUCCAGUGAGCUACAGCUAUCCACAGGUGACAUGGGCGCCUUAGGAGGAAUGGAGCUGUUCAAGUCAAGGCUGGGGAGAGUGAUGUCCAGUGAGAUUGCACUGAGUGACUUCUGAGCUAUUUCCAACCUCCAUAGUUUAUGAUGAAUGAAACUUACGCUGCCAAGGAAGAAACUCUCUGGAAGAUCAAGAUUUCUCUGGCCCCUGGGAGGUUGGGGCAGCUGACGGCCUUCCUGCUGUAGUUCCCAUUGCCCAAUAUGCACCAGGUCUCACUGGGGGUUGCCUGCCAAGCAGGUCACAUCUUAAACUGGCUCCCCAUGAGGACAGGUUACCGUGAGGAUUAAAUGAGAUAAUAUGGGAAGCACUGAAUGCCUGAUACACUGGAGGUGCUCAAUAAAUAUGACUUUCCUCAUCAACCUUGCCCUCUGCAUCCAUCAUCUGCCCAGUUCCCCAGGCCAGGAACCUGAGGUCAUCCAAGACACCUUCUCCCCACUCCUCCCCACUCCCCAAUCCAUCCUGAAGCCAAGUGGCUGUUCCCCUCACAAGUAUUUGUCAAGCCUUUUCAUUCUUCCGGUUCCCACUGCUGCUAUCUGGGAGGAGGCUGGCAACAGGCUCCUAAUCAAGCUCUCUCCUGCUCUAGGGCCCGCAUCCAAAUCCAUCCCCAGUUCUCCUGGAAGAUGCAAAUCUGAUCCUGGCUAUAUGAAAUGAUUCAGCAGUUCCCCAGGACUUUCAGAACAAACUCAGAUGCCUGGCUCUGGCUCCUGGUGGCUCACCCGCCCCAUUUCUCACACACCUUCCUACACUCCCUGGUGCUUCUGUCCCGAGGAAGGGGUCACCUGUGGUUCUUUGGCACUGUGUGCUUCCAUGCUUUUGCACCCAGGGUUCUUUCUGUCUGGAGGCCCUACCCCCUCCCCGGUGCAAUGACGCCUCAUCCUUUUAAAAUACAAUUCAAGUGCCACCUCUUCCUCAAAACUUCCCAGGUCCCAGCUGGACUUAGAUGUGCUUUACGUAUUUCUC